UGGAAGAAUCUGUAAAGCUCAGGAGGGAUAGCGCCAUUAUACCAACCAAUGAUUUAAUCAUAGCAGUAUAUUUGGCGCUGUCCAUCCUGAGUUUUCCGGCUUCUUCAU